AGGGGCCGCCCGAGCGCGGUCCGAGCCAUCUACUGCUGCCGGCCACCCGGACCUCCCGACUCGCAGCCCGCCCCUUCCCCGCCCGCCGCCGUCACCAGGGAAACGGGCCGCGACCGCCUGCCGACCCCAAGCUGGUUUCAUGGCAGCCGCGAAGAAAGCAGUUUUGGGGCCAUUGGUGGGAGCAGUGGACCAGGGCACCAGCUCGACGCGCUUUUUGGUUUUCAAUUCAAAAACAGCCGAACUACUUAGUCAUCAUCAAGUGGAAAUAAAACAAGAGUUUCCAAGAGAAGGAUGGGUGGAGCAGGACCCUAAGGAAAUUCUGCAUUCUGUCUAUGAGUGUAUAGAGAAAACGUGUGAGAAACUUGGCCAGCUCAAUAUUGAUAUUUCCAACAUAAAAGCUAUUGGUGUCAGUAACCAGAGGGAAACCACUGUAGUCUGGGACAAGUUAACUGGAGAGCCUCUCUACAAUGCUGUGGCUGCUCCAGUUUCUCCUGGCCCUUCAGAUCCAGCUGCCGUUGUUCCCUCUGGCUCUUCAGUUCCAGCUGCUGGCCCUUCCUCAGUGUGGCUUGACCUAAGAACCCAGUCUACCGUUGAGAGUCUUAGUAAAAGAAUUCCAGGAAAUAAUAACUUUGUCAAGUCCAAGACAGGCCUUCCACUUAGCACUUAUUUCAGUGCGGUGAAACUUCGUUGGCUCCUUGACAAUGUGAGAAAAGUUCAAAAGGCAGUUGAAGAAGAUAGAGCUCUUUUUGGGACCGUUGAUUCAUGGCUUAUUUGGAGCUUGACAGGAGGAGCCAGUGGAGGUGUCCAUUGUACAGAUGUAACAAAUGCAAGCAGGACGAUGCUUUUCAACAUCCAUUCUUUGGAAUGGGAUAAAGAGCUCUGCGAAUUUUUUGAAAUUCCAAUGAAAAUUCUUCCGAAUGUCCGGAGUUCUUCUGAGAUCUACGGCCUAAUGAAAAUCUCUCAUAGUCUGAAAGCUGGGGCCUUGGAAGGUGUACCAAUAUCUGGGUGUUUGGGGGACCAAUCUGCCGCAUUGGUGGGACAAAUGUGCUUCCAGGAUGGACAAGCCAAAAACACGUAUGGAACAGGCUGUUUCUUACUAUGUAAUACAGGCCAUAAGUGUGUAUUUUCUGAACAUGGCCUUCUGACCACAGUGGCUUACAAACUCGGCAGAGACAAACCAGUGUAUUAUGCGUUAGAAGGUUCCGUAGCUAUAGCCGGUGCUGUUAUUCGCUGGCUCAGGGACAAUCUUGGAAUUAUAAAGACCUCUGAGGAAAUUGAAAAACUUGCUAAAGAAGUAGGUACUUCUUAUGGCUGCUAUUUCGUCCCAGCAUUUUCAGGGCUAUAUGCACCUUAUUGGGAGCCCAGUGCAAGAGGGAUCAUCUGUGGGCUCACUCAGUUCACCAAUAAAUGUCAUAUUGCUUUUGCUGCAUUAGAAGCUGUUUGUUUCCAAACUCGAGAGAUUUUGGACGCCAUGAACCGUGACUGUGGAAUUCCGCUCAGUCAUUUGCAGGUAGACGGAGGAAUGACCAACAACAAAAUUCUGAUGCAGCUACAAGCAGACAUUCUGUAUAUCCCAGUAGUGAAGCCCUCGAUGCCCGAAACAACUGCCCUGGGAGCUGCCAUGGCAGCAGGGGCUGCAGAAGGGGUUGGCGUUUGGAGUCUGGAACCUGAGGACUUGUCAGCUGUCACAAUGGAGCGGUUUGAACCUCAGAUCAACGCUGAGGAAAGUGAAAUUCGUUAUUCUACGUGGAAGAAAGCUGUGAUGAAGUCAAUGGGUUGGGUUACAACUCAGUCUUCAGAAAGUGGUGACCCUAGUAUCUUCUGUAGUCUACCCUUGGGCUUUUUUAUAGUGAGUAGCAUGGUAAUGUUAAUCGGAGCAAGGUACCGCUCAGGUAUGCCAUAAAUACUACCAACUCAUGGAUUCCAAAGAUGCGAGCUCUUUACCUAUCGAGAGAAUCCAGUGAUUCUGUCUCUUAAUGUGAUGACACUACUCAUAGACUCUGAUUUUAUUUAUAAGCCACUAGCUGCAUGACCCUCCAAGUAGACCUGUGGCUUGAAAUAAAGAAAAUGCAGCAGAAAGAAUGCUAUAGAAACAUAUGACUAGAACUUAGAUCAAAGUUAAAUUGAGAAAGAAAUUGCAGGAAACGUGACGCUCAGCUGUUAGCACUUGAUCAGGCACACUCUGAAGAAUUAACCUACAGCCGAAGAAGUAGUUUCUGGAAUGAUGAGCACCUUACUCGUUCUGUUAGAAAAGACUACAGUGUCCCAUCUCAGCAUCCAGAAAAUACCCUGCUGAGGUCAGCAGCCAUUAUCAAUAGGGUCUUGUGGUCAUGCCCAACCAUGACCUACUGGUUCCACUCUCUGCUUCAGUUUCUCUCUACCUGGGUGAUUUGGUGGAGUGAAGUACACCAUUGUUCUCUGAAUUCAAUAGCCAACACCUCAACCUUUUGUUCUCCAGGUAAUCAGUAAUAUAAGUAAUGCAUUUUUGCUUCUGUAAUAAUAUCUUAGAAUUUUUUAGUGUGUUUCUUUUGAAAUGCCUAAAGGUCAGUUCUUUGGCUUAUGGGUAUUUUGUAUCAUGUGGGAAUGAAGAAUGAUAGCUAUUUAGGAGGAACCACCAAUCAAAAUAUGUCAUAGCACAGAAACUGUAACAGUAUUGGCAGUCCUAGUAGGUAGUAUUUACCUCACAGUGUCUACCUAAUCGUAAAUAGAAGUUCAAAAAUUACUAUUUUUAUAGCUUUAAUGAGGUAUAAUUGAUAUACAGAAAACUGUACAUAUUUAAUGUAUAUACUUUGAUGAGUUCAGACAUAUGCAUACACCCAUUAUCCCAUUACCACAAUCAAGGUUAUAAACAUAUCCAUCACCUCCAAAAUUUUUCUUAUGUCCCUUUGCUUGUUGUGUUUGUGUGUUAAGAAUGCUUAACAUGAGGUCUACCCUCUUAAAUUUUUUUUAAUAUUUAUUUAUUUAUUUUUGGCUGCAUUGGGUCUUUGUUGCUGCGUGCAAGCUUUCUCUAGUUGUGGUGAGCGGGGGCUACUCUUCAUUGCGGUGCGUGGGCCUCUCAUUGCGAUGGCUUAUCUUGUUGCGGAGCAUGGGCUCUAGGCACGCAGGCUUCAGUAGUUGUGGCGCACAGGCUCAGUAGUUGUGUCUCUCGGGCUCUAGAGCGCAGACUCAGUAGUUGUGGCGCACGGGCUUAGUUGCUCCACAGCAUGUGGGAUCUUCCUGGACCAGGGCUUGAACUUGUGUCCCCUGCAUUGGCAGGUGGAUUCUUAACCACUGUGCCACCAGGGAAGCUCUACCCUCUUAAAUUUUUAAGUGCACAAUACCGUAUUGUUAACUCUAGGCACUAUGUUGUACAACAGAUCUCUAGAACUUAUUCAUCUUGUGUAAUUAACUUCAUAUCCAUUGAACAACUCCCCAUUUCCCCCUCACCCCAGCCCCUGCUAGGCACCAAUCUCUUUUCUGUUUCUAUGAGUUUGACUUUUUAAGAUUCCACACAUGAAGUAAGAUCAUGCAGUAUUUCUUUCUGUGUCUGGUUUAUUUCACUUAGCAUAACAUCUUCCAGGUCCAUCGAUGUUGUUAACAAUAGUAGAAUUUCCUUCUUUUUUUAAGGCUGAUCAAGAUUCCACUGCAUGCACAUACCACAUUUUCUUUAACCAUUCAUCUGUCAGUGGACAUUUGGGUCAUUUCUAUAUCUUGGCUAUUGUGAAUAAUGCUGCAAUGAACAUGGGAGUGUAGAUAUCUCUUCAAGAUCCUGAUUCCAAUGCUUUUGGAUAUAUACUCAAAAGUGGGACUGCUGGAUCAUAUGGUAGUUCUAUUUUUAAUUUUUUUGAGGAGUCCUCAUACUGUUUUCCACAGUGGCUGUACCAUUUUACAUUCCCACCAACAAUGUUACAAGUGUUCCAAAAAUUAUUUUUUAACUAGAACUUUGUAAUAACUUGUUUUAACUAAUAAUAUUUAAACAAUGAAGUUUACUUGAUCCGUUCUAGCAACCUAACAAUUUGUAAGGUCACAUAACAGGCAAUUAGUGGAAAACUGAGUGGCUUUUUUAAAACCAACUUGGUUGCUACUUGGUCUAUACUUUAUAGGUACAUAUCUUAGUUCUGGUCUUAUGAUAAAGUAUAAAUUGUGUUAAGUAUCAUAGACAAAAAACUCUCGCAAGUGUUUCCAAAGGUUUCCCUGUCAUCAGAUUCAGUGAAAAUGACCUAUUAAAUUAAAGUUGGGGACUGUAAAGAUAAAUAUUCUGAGAAGCAUGAGAUAGUUUAAAAACAAGUUGCUCAACUAGACCAAUAUCUCUAUUUACCAGUUUUCAUCCUAUUUCAGGUAACUAGUUCUACCUGACAGCAUAAUAGUUGAGGAUAACAAUAUUUUAUUUUAAAAAGCAGCCUCAGGCCUUUUUCAGUUUUCCUGUGUAGUAUUAAAAUUAAGUAGCUUCUUUUAUUCCCCAUUAUUAAAUCUGAUAUUAUUUAUGUCAUUGGUUGCUUAUUAUGAUAUGACUAGUUUACAAGUGGAUUUCAUAAAUAUCAGAUCAUUUAAAUCAUCUCCAAAACACUCAUCAAAAGGAGGCUGGUUAAAUUAACUGUGCUACAGCCACACAAUAUAGAACAUGUAGCUUUAGAAGAGCAUGGGGACGCUGUCUAGAAACAUGGAAACAUCCAAGAUAAGUGAAAAAGCAAGGUGCAGAGGAGUGCAUAAGUGUGCUACCUUUCCAUUUAAAAAAAAGAAAAAAAAAAAGAAAAAACUAGGAUGUUUGCCUAUGCCGGACGGACACAUAAAGAAACUGGGAAGCUGCUGCAUAGCACAGGGAGAUCAGCUCGAUGCUUUGUGCCCACCUAGAGGGGUGGGAUAGGGAGGUUGGGAGGGAGACGCAAGAGGAAGGGGAUAUCGGGAUAUAUGUAUACGUAUAGCAGAUUCACUUUGCUAUGCAGCAGAAACUAACACACCAUUGUAAAGCAAUUAUACUCCAUUAAAGAUGUGGGGGGAAAAAAAAAGGAAGCUGUUAAAUAGUACUGGAACAGAACGCAGUGAUCAGGCAUGUGGGAGACAGGAGUAGGGAAAAACAUAUAAAAGUUAUAUAUUUGAACCAUGUUAAUUGCUAGUAUGUGUAAUAUUGAACCAUGUUAAUAUAUUAACUAUUUGCAAAACUAAUUUUAAAUUUUUGAACUUAAAUUCAGAGGCCAUUGUACAUGAAUGUUCAUGACAGCAUUAUCCAUAACAGCCAAAAAGGAAAUAACCCACAUAUCUAUCAGCUGAUGAAUGGAUAAGUGAAAGUUGGUAUAUCCAUACAAUGGAAUAUUAUUCAGGUAUAAAAAUGAAUAAAGUACCGGAUACAUGCUACAACAUAAAUGAACCUUGAAAACUGCACAAAGUGAAAGAAGUCAUAUACAAAAAGCCACAUAUUGUAUGAUUCCAGUUGUAUGAAAUGUCCAGAAUAGACAAAUCCAUAGAGACAGAAAGUGGAUUAGUGGCCAGAGUCUGGGGGGAGGGGAAAGGGGACGUGACUGCUAAUGGACCGGGUUUCUUUUGGGGUGAUUGCACAACUUUGUGACUAUACUAAAAACUGAAUUAUACACUUUAAAGGAGUACGUUUAUGGUAUAUGAAUUAUAUUUCAAUAAAAAUGUAACUUUAAUUUGCAUUUAUGUAAAAUAAAUGUACAUGACCAGUCCCUGAUGGCAUGUGAACUUGUAGUCCCUGAAAUGAGCCCUCUGAAGGAAAUAAAUUUUAUUUGCUCCUUGAAAAAUGGAGGUUAAUAAAUUUAUCUCCUUUUUAUUUCACUUUCAUUAACUAUUUUUUAAGUAUCUAAUACUGGAAAUAAGAAAAAUGCUUUAGUCACUGAUACAUAAAAGAUUAUGAUGAAGUAGAAGAUCUGGGCUCCCGUUCAGUUUCCCAGGCAUUUUCAUGGUCUGUCCAAGAGAAUAUAGUGAUAAAAAGGAUGCAGCUAACUCGUUUUCCCCAAAGACUUGAUAAAUGAGGAGGCAGUCUUCUGAACGUAUUAAGCAAAUCAUAUCACUAUAAUUACCAGUAACUUCACUUCUAGUUACGAAACUAUGCUGUUUCCUAAUUUUCUUGAAGGUUUAGCCUCAUCUGUUUAUCAUCUUCUUUCUCCUCAAACUCAUUUUAAACCUUUAACCUUUCAUUAAUUUACCACCACCUCCUUUUCUUUACUACUGUUUAUAGGAGGAAACAAUAGGUCUGUUUGUCAUCUACCUCUUCAAAUAAUUGUAAAUCUACUUCAAAUGGCAGUGAAUGUUUACAAGUUCACACUCUACAUCACUGGUUUCUCAACAGCCGGGGGAGCACUUUGUAAAAUGAGCAUUCCUGUCCAUUUAAUUCUUUUGAUCAAAUUGUUUGUUUGGAAAUCAGAGUAAUACUGCUCUUAGAAAAAUUAGAAGAUAAGAGGUUACAAAGAAGAGUAGAAAAUCAUUUAUUUUUUCCCCAAAAUUUAAGGUGGUAUUUUCAUAGAUCUUGAAUGUUCAUAAACUUUAUAUAAAAAUUUUAACCUGCACAACAAUACAACGUAUCAUGUGUAUGGACACAUACAGUUGAACUAGAAGUAUGAAACUUGCAUAGGGAUGAUAGAUACCAAGUUUAGGAUGGUGGUUACUUCUGGAAGGCAGAGCAUGGAAUCAGGGCAAGAGACUUCACUGGAACCUGAAAAGUUGUGUUUCUUAAAAAAUUAAAAGCUAAAGCAAAUAUAGCAAAAUCUUAAGAUUUGACUGAGUGGUGGAGUAUGGAUGUAUUUACUAUAUUCUCUACUUUUCUGUAUGCUUGAAAUAUUUCAUAGUAAAAAUAUAAGGUGUAUCGUCCUCCUAAUUGUAUGUAUCUAAGUCCACCACUCACUGUCCAUUAUUGUAAUUUUGUUUAUCCUGACACCCUUCCCAAUUAAAAGGGCUGAAAUCUUA